rnacentral:rRNA from 1 species
GACAGAGGGUGCAAACGUUGCUCGGAAUUACUGGGCGUAAAGCGCGUGUAGGCGGACGUGUAAGUCAGGUGUGAAAUCCCCGGGCUCAACCCGGGAACUGCACUUGAAACUGCGCGUCUUGAGUACUGGAGAGGGUAGUGGAAUUCCUGGUGUAGAGGUGAAAUUCGUAGAUAUCAGGAGGAACACCGGUGGCGAAGGCGGCUACCUGGGACAGUCACUGACGCUGAGACGCGAAAGCGUGGGGGAGCAAACAGG